GAUGCUGCAUUUGUUUGGAGUGCAUAUGAUUGACAUGUAUACAGAAGACAUGAGGUAUCUGGUUUGACGACCUUUAUGUCAAGAUAGGAGGCCCUGGUGAGUAUAGCUUCUUCUUCUAUUGUUUAGCUAUUCCUUUCCUAUUAUUGAUCAUAAGACUGUACUCCAUGAUUAUUACUGUUAGAUAUAUCUUACUAUGCAUGUCAGCUUGAUACCCGCUGAGUUGUUAAACUCACCCCGUUGAUUAUUCUUAUUUCAGGUUGAAGCCGUCAGAAGGUUCCAGUUGCUAGUCCCCACUCAUAAGGUUUGAUGUUGUUAUACACUUCUCUGGACUAAAAGCUAUUGGUGAAAGUUCAUUUAAGAAUACUUUUAUUUGUCUAAACCCCUACUACACUUCGCUGGACAUAGUUUAUAAUUACUCUUUCUUUAUCUUGUAGUGAGAGUCUUCAAUUUUACUUUUUCUUUAAAAUGCUCCAGUUAGUGGUAUCCUUUUGACUUCCUAGUUAAAUAUAUUUGAUUUGUGAGCAAUAGUUUCUCCAGCUCAUUAAUUUUCACUGUUGCUUAUUAGUGGCUUCUUAUCAAUCCUAGUGGCUAGUCGCUUGGAUGUAGAUGCUCCAGUUCUAAUCAACACAAUGACACUCUAAUAUGGAUAAGUUUUGUUUUGUACACAAUCUAAUUAUCAUUGGUGACUAGUCACUUAGGUGGAGAUGCUCCAAUUCUUAAACUCUAGAUCAUUUUUUUCCUACUUGGCUCAAGCCACAUCAGCAGUAGUUAAAAAAUUACAAGGGCAACAAUUAAGUUAUAGCUCAGAUACAUUGGAGUACUUUCUUGUCUUCAGUUUGUAAAAAAUUACAAGGGCAACAAUUAAUCUUGUACUUUCUUUUCUGACACAUAUAUUUUUUUUCAACUAUGCUUGUCUUUCCCUUCUAAUGAUUAUUACAUCUUAUGAAAUGCUCAUUCUAGUGAAAUUGUGAUAACUAACUGAUAGCACCAUUUUGAAAUAGAACAACUGCCAAUUAUGUUGUUAAUUUCUAAAUUUCCCAUUUUUAUAUGAAAAUCAGCUUCUCUAAUAUUUGUUCCCUAGCACUGCAUCCCAAGAUAUGGGACCCGAGCUGGAAAUCUUGAAUGAUGACUAUAAGGCUCAUUUAUCUUUAAUUGCCUGCCUGUAUAUUGAUUUUUGACAGUUUCAAUUAACCUGGAUGAAUCUUUGUAUGUUAGGUAACUUGCAUGAUUUUGUAAUAUAGGGCGUAGGAACCUUCAAUGGUUAUCAGCAGUGUAACCUUCUUCUGAGCUCAUUUAGUUUUGUAAUGUGAAAUUUUCAAUUCGGAUUUGCAUAAUUUUGAACAAGUAGUAUUCUUGCUUCUUAAUAUUUUUAUUCAUUUAUUAUUUUCAUAAAGUUCAGUUGUUCUCUAUGGUGGGUAAUAUAACUUUAUAACCUUGUUGACGCUUGGCAUAUUAGAUAGUUUAGAUUGCCAGUUAUUUGGGUAAAAGAACAACUGUACAUAAAUUACAUUCAGAAAGAUAUGCUUGUGCAUCUAUUACUCCAUCUAAUGAAUUGCAGCUAAUGCAGGUAAGAAGACAUCACCACCUUCCUUACGAUCUGUGUCUACCAUUAUACUGGUUGGUGUAAGUUAGAGGUAAAUUGUUCAAAGUUAAAUAACUUGUUGGUUUGAACCUAGAUGUUACUAAAACUCAUUAUUGGUUUUGUGGAAUCUGCUCUUUCUUCCUA